CCCAUACAGGCUCAGGCCCCAAAGCUGAGCUUCCUUGGAGACUCGGCAUCCAGCAGAGCAGAGAGGACUUUGACCUGCAGCCCAUGUGACAGAGGCUGAAAGAGAACAAGGAGGAAAAGAUGAUCCUGGACGGACAGAGGCACAGAGAAGGAGGCACAGGAGGCAGCCUUUGACCUGACCCUGCAGGACAGGAGGGAUGUGGACCAGCAAAGACGAGGGAAGGCGGCCUGAGCACCAGCCCAGAGCCAGGCAUGAGAGGCAGAGAUCAGGAGGAGGAGGAUAUGCUGUUACCCCAUUUUUCAAACGAAGAAACUGAGGCACAGAGAGGUGAAGUUGCUUGCCUAAGGUUACACAGCUGGAAGGCUGGUUCUCCUGGUCAACUGGUCGGGCAGGGAAGGAGGGCAGAGCUGUUCAAGAGCCUGGUCAGGUGGCUUGGCUGUAGUCCCCAGCUCAGCCUCCCCUGCUGCUAACUCUGGACCCCACCAUGGGGACCACAUGACCUCAACAGGAAGGAAACAGACCCAGGAGGAUCUCAUGCCACACCUGCCACGGCUCCACCUGCCCCACAACUCACCACACCCAACCCUCCCUGCCCAGUGCAUUUGCAAAAGAGAAACACCGAACACACACAAAUAAUAACCAACCCCGUGUGUUUCCUGGCAUCGGGUGACUGUUUGGUCAAGAGCUUCCUCCCUCAUCAUGUACCUGCCAGACACUCCUAACCCCCACCCGGUGCUGCCGGCUCGGGCGGCUGAUCACAAGCUUGAUCCCCAGGAC